rnacentral:rRNA from 1 species
CACGGAAGGCAGCAGUGGGGAAUAUUGCACAAUGGGCGAAAGCCUGAUGCAGCUAUGCCGCGUGUAUGAAGAAGGCCUUAGGGUUGUAAAGUACUUUCAUCGGGGAGGAAAAAACAAAACUAAUAAUUUUAUUUCUUGACGUUACCCGAAAAAGAAGCACCGGCUAACUCCGUGCCAGCAGCCGCGGUAAUACGGAGGGUGCUAGCGUUAAUCAGAAUUACUGGGCGUAAAGAGCACGUAGGUGGUUUUUUUAAGUCAGAUGUGAAAUCCCUGGGCUUAACCUGGAACUGCAUUUUGAAACUGAAAUACUAGAGUAUCGUAGAGGGAGGUAGAAUUCUAGGUGUAGCGGUGAAAUGCGUAGAUAUCUGGAGGAAUACCUGUGGCGAAAGCGGCCUCCUAAACGAAUACUGACACUGAGGUGCGAAAGCGUGGGGAGCAAACAGGGAUUAGAUACC